rnacentral:rRNA from 1 species
GUCGCCNAUUGAUUCUUAGUGCUUGCANUAAGAUGAUUUUGGAUCCGACUGAGUGGCGAACUGGUGAGUAACACGUGGGUAACCUGCCCAGAAGAAGGGGAUAACACCUGGAAACAGAUGCUAAUACCGUAUAACAACAAGAACCACAUGGUUCUUGUUUGAAAGCUGGCCUUUGUGCUAGUGCUUCUGGAUGGACCCGCGGCGUAUUAGCUAGUUGGUGAGAUAAUAGCUCACCAAGGCAAUGAUACGUAGCAGACCUGAGAGGGUAAUCUGCCACAAUGGGACUGAGACACGGCCCAUACUCCUACGGGAGGCAGCAGUAGGGAAUCUUCCACAAUGGACGAAAGUCUGAUGGAGCAACGCCGCGUGAGUGAAGAAGGGUUUCGGCUCGUAAAACUCUGUUGUUAGAGAAGAACAGCCGUGAGAGCAACUGCUCACGGUAUGACGGUAUCUAACCAGAAAGUCACGGCUAACUACGUGCCANCAGCCGCGGUAAUACGUANGUGGCAAACGUUGUCCNGAUUUAUUGGGCGUAAAGGGAGCGCANGCGGUUUAUUAANUCUGAUGUGAAAGCCUUCGCUUAACCGGAAAAGUGCAUCGGAAACUGAUAAACUUGAGUGCANAAAANGAUANUGGACUUNUGUGUANCGGUNAAANGCNUANAUNUUNAAGGAACNCCNNUNGCNAAGGCGGNUNUNUGNUNUNNANNNANCCUNAGC